ACUCGGUGGAUUGUUGCUGGCUCUUAGGAGUAUGUGCACAUCUGCCAUUGUUUCAUUCUUUCUCCACCUGUGCACCUUUUGUAGGCUUGGAUAACUCUCAAGGACUGAAUUUACAUUCAUUUCUUGGAUUUAGGGAUUGGUUUCAAAAAAGCCUUUCCUUUGCAUUUCCAGUCUAUGUUUUUAUAUAUCUACACCCCAUUAGUAUGUAAUAGAAUGUUUAUUAUUUGGCCUUUUAGGCCUUUAAAACUUAUACAACUUUCAACAACGGAUCUCUUGGCUCUCGCAUCGAUGAAGAACGCAGCGAAAUGCGAUAAGUAAUGUGAAUUGCAGAAUUCAGUGAAUCAUCGAAUCUUUGAACGCACCUUGCGCUCCUUGGUAUUCCGAGGAGCAUGCCUGUUUGAGUGUCAUUAAAUUCUCAAUCCUUUCUGGGUUUACUCUCAGUUGGGCUUGGAUAUGGGGGGUUUUGCCGGCUUUGUAAAACAAACAAAGUCAGCUCUCCUGAAAGACAUUAGCAAGACUCUUGUUGCAACCUUCUAUCUGGUGUGAUAAUUAUCUACAUCAUAGAUUUGUACACUAUGUCUAGCUUCUAACAGUCCAUUAAAUUGGACAAAACUCUGACAAUUUGACCUCAAAUCAGGUAGGACUACCCGCUGAACUUAAGCAUAUCAAUAAGCGGAGGAAAAGAAACUAACAAGGAUUCCCCUAGUAACUGCGAGUGAAGCGGGAAAAGCUCAAAUUUAAAAUCUGGCAGUCUCUGGCUGUCCGAGUUGUAAUCUAGAG
rnacentral:rRNA from 1 species